rnacentral:lncRNA from 1 species
CUUCUGCUCAUCCAUUGCCAAAAGUGGAGCUGCCUCCAAAUGCAAUCAAGGCGAUUAAAGGCAGUGAACUGGAGGCCGCAUCACUUCCUGCUCAGGUUGGAGGGACGAUUGUGCAUGUUCUGGGCUGGAAGGAGGGAAUGGCCAUCCUCCCUGGAAGCAAUCUGAAGUUAUGUGUUAGUGAUACUGGUUCACUGGAAGUGAUCAGUGAAGGGAAAAUAGGCUCUGCUAACCUGACCACUGAAGGAGCGCAGACAAAAUCAGCUGAUAUGGAGCUCAAACAAGCUGAAAAACCAGACGUCUCAGCGGGUGGGAAUGUCCGGUCUGCUGCCUUCGUGGAGGCCGGCAGACUUCAGAGAGCACGUAUGGAGCCUCAGGACAGUCCAGCUCAUAGCAAGUGCACUGAGACAUCGGCCAGACAGACUUACCUGACGGAGCUACACGGAGAGAUGAUGUCUGAAAAUGCUGCAGGGAUUGCUGAAGCACAGGUGAUCUAUCAUGAGCAUGAAAUGCUGAAGCCCAUGAAGAAGAGGAAGAGGAGGGAAUACAACAGCCCAUCAGAGGAAGAGUCUGAUGCUGAGCCAAUGGAGGAGAAAGUGGAGGCUUUAAAAAUGGAUGGCAGACAGAACAAAGCAGGUGCGUCAUCACACUCCCAUGAUAAACAGUAAUUGUGUUACGAAACCAUCACUAAUGAGCUAAAGUUAGAUUUCAUACUCUUGCACUCUGCACCCUCACAACUGUCAAUCACUGCAUUACUUCUUGAAAGUUAUGUUGCCUUGACUGUCAAAAAGGCUUUGUUUGUCCUUACCUAGUGUGACUUCAUUAGUAUAUGCAGGUAUUCUAAUAUAAGUAGACACUGUGUGUGUGUGUGUGUGUGUGUGUGUGUGUGUAUAAUAUAUAAUAUAUAUAUAUAUAUAUAUAUAUAUGUGUGUGUGUGUGUGUGUCAAAAUAAUUAAUCGCGAUUAAUCGCAUCCAAAAUAAAAGUUUUUUGUUUACAUAAUAUAUGUGUGUGUACUGUGUUUAUUUAUUAUGUAUAUAUAAAUACACAUGCAUGUAUAUAUUUAAGAAAAUUAUAUUAUGUUUAUAUAUUAAAUAUAUUUAUAGAUAUCAUAUAAAUUAUGUUAAUCUUUUCAAAAUAUUAACUGUAUGUGUGUGUCUUUAUGUAUACGUAAUAAAUAUACACAGUACACACACAUGUAUUAUAUAAACAAAAACUUUUAUUUUGGAUGCAAUUAAUCAUGAUAAAUCAUUGCCCAGCUCUAAUAAAUAUUCACAGCCACAUUAUGCAAACAUGUUCUGCUUACACACACACCUGUACAAUGCCAGGGCUUAUGACUGCCAGGAUGAGGUAAAGCCAGAUAUAGGCGAAGAUGCUCCAGGAUGCAGUAACAAAGAAAACUCUGAGGUGUUUAAUCUUCCUCACCUCUCCAUCAGGUAUCACCCACACACACACUCCGAUUAUCACAAACAUGUUAAACGCAGCACUGCCGACUAUGG